rnacentral:rRNA from 1 species
UGGCGGACGGGUGAGUAAUGUCUGGGAAACUGCCUGAUGGAGGGGGACAACUACUGGAAACGGUAGCUAAUACCGCAUAACGUCGCAAGACCAAAGAGGGGGACCUUCGGGCCUCUUGCCAUCGGAUGUGCCCAGAUGGGAUUAGCUAGUAGGUGGGGUAAAGGCUCACCUAGGCGACGAUCCCUAGCUGGUCUGAGAGGAUGACCAGCCACACUGGAACUGAGACACGGUCCAG